rnacentral:rRNA from 1 species
UACGUAGGGGGCAAGCGUUGUCCGGAUUUAUUGGGCGUAAAGAGCGUGUAGGCGGCCUGAAAGGUCAGCUGUGAAAACUCGAGGCUCAACCUCGAGACGUCGGUUGAAACCAUCUGGCUAGAGUCCGGAAGAGGAGAGUGGAAUUCCCCGGUGUAGCGGUGAAAUGCGCAGCUAUCGGGAAGAACACCCGUGCGAAGGCGGCUCUCUGG